AUUUGGGCAAUGUUUGGUACCUAAACCCCAAAACCCUAGACUUCUAACUAGUGCCUACCCUAGUUUUCUGGAGUACCGUGAAGGAAAAUUGUAUUCAAGACUUAAUACGAUGUACCUUUAUAUUGCAUUUUUAUAAGCAUCACACGAGCAUUCAUGGUUAUAUAUGAUAUAUAUAGAGAACGAGGAAGAAGUAGUGGUUGAAGAAGAUGAAGUUGCACCACCACCACUUGAAGACCCACCUGCCGGGAACUGCUUUUAUUUUGAUAUUUGAGGAGCAGAGCCUGUGAUGGAACCUCCCAAGUAAUUAGGCCCACCUACAGUUGUCCUUGUCCAACAGACAUCAAACACCCUGUAGAUGUUCCUAAGUCACUUGACAAGUUCGGUAUCUUUCCUUACCUUACCAGGAACGUUUCACCCGUCUUGCAGACAUUACAGAACAUCGGAGGUAAAGAAAUGCGGAAGCAAUUACAUAAACUUACAUUUGUUUAGAAAGUAAGAUCAAGUUACUUUUUACAGACCAGAGCUAUAAACGAGUGCUGAGUAUUAUUAUUACACAUAUCAAGGGAGGCAGAAACUCCUCCCGAUAGCUUUUAAACAAAAAGAUCCUAUAUGGAGGACCACGUCCUCCCGCAUCUUCACUCUUGUUUUUCUUCAUUUGGUACCACCUUGGAGCAAAAGCAACAAAAAUUUGUCGCUUCCUCACCUAAAAACAACAAAGGGAUAAACCCUGAGUAUGGAAUUACUCAGCAAGUCUUACCCGACUAAGGAAAAGACUCUCAAGGGUAUGCUGGAUAAAUAGGAGUCAAGGAGACGCUUUAGCAAAAAUCAACUUAUACUUUUGCAGAAGUAGCUUACUAAAGUGAGUCCUUACUUUCAAUCUUUUAACGCCAUAUUAAGUAUUAAUAGACUCUAUUUGCAUCUAGUCUAAUUUCACAUCACAUCAAGACAACAUCAUUUUUAUCCAUAGUGUUCACGUCCUGACUUUAGGUUGCAGGUCAGUGAUCAAGUCUCCACUCUCCGGGGAUAUAACGGCGAUCCGAAUCGAUUUACUCAGCUGAGGAUCUCUAACCACACGACAUAUGUAGCACUUAAUCCUUGCAUAUGUCAACUCGACCCCAGGGUUCUUAAGACCAGAUCAGGUUCACGCAAACCGAGAGCACAGAUACACCACCGUCCAGCCUCUUGCCACGGAGGGUACACGCUACUCCCGCCACCGCUCCACGCCCAUUUCGUGUUAUCUUAUUCUGGCCUUAGUCUGCCCGAGGCAAAGCUUACCCUGUCCCAUUUCCAGGGUAUGCGGCUAGCUAAGAUAGUCCUUGCUCUAUCAAGCCUACAUACGCAUUCAAUCCUUAAUCAACCUGGGUAGAACAUCACCUGUUCCUAGCCCAAGUCUCGAUUUAAGUAUUUCCAUCCUUAGGAUUGUUUCUGUUCCUUAGGAUGAAAAGAGCAUCACAGGGAACUUUGCAGUAAGAUCCCACCAUGCUCCCAAUGAAAAUAUAUUCUUGCAGGUAGAAGUCAUCUUUCCUCAGGAUAACCCCUGAGCAAGGCCUUAACGCAAAAGACAACUUCCAUCCACAAGAUCUAAGCAGGGCUAAGCAUUUUUGUAAAUCAAAUUUUGAUACUUCCAAGAAGUAUCUAUAACGGGUAUGGAUAUCAAGGAAGGCAAUGCAUCAAAGGGUUUCAAGCAACUCCUAUAAACUUAAUGCACAUUUCACUAGACUUAAAGUGUGCGAAAAGUAUUUAAAAACACAAGGAAGGGGUUGCAUGCACCGGGGCUUGCCUUUGUUUAUAGAUGAGUUAGUCUCAGGCCCGCAGAUGUUAAAGUAGAGACGAGACCCUGCCUGAGACUCCAAAGGUGGUGUUGUCUUCGCUUCAGGGACUUCCACUUCUUCUUCGCGUUCUAAAUAUAACCAUAUAGGUAUAUAUAAGAAUGAAUGCCAUGUAAUGCAAACUCUUACAAGGAGAGGUGGAGAACAGAAACACUACAACUAAAGCACAUGACAAGAAUAUACCUAUUUCUUAUUGCUCGAUUAAAGUGACCAAAUUGAAAUCACUUGGGUAAACCAGGGAAUUACCCCAACCAAGGUCUCAAGCAAAAGCUUAAAACUCCUUAAGUAACUUCAUCCAAGGGUCAAGAUCUCACUAGAUCAACAUGCCUCUGCCCCAAAAGCACUUAGUUCCAUAAUUAAGUAAGGAUUUAAUAACUAUUUUUGGAAUUUUUCUGUGAUUUCUAACAUAAUUUAUAAGCUCUUGAUAAAAGAAAAGACAAGGCUGUCAACAGUGUUGGGCCCCAAAUUGCUGGCGCGACCCAACAACCAGGCAAAGCUGGCCCAAACCCGGGAGCCCGCGCCCGCUUUGGCCAUCUUGCCCAAAGGACCUUGCGCUCUGGUUAAAAUAAUCCGAGCUCCCAGCCACUGUUGCUUGUGUCUCUGACAUCUUCGCUAAAACCCCUCGGCUACCACUCUUUUACAAGCACUCGGCCCUGACACUGCCCGCUCGGACUCCGGUGACCCAGUGCCAGCUCGGCCAUGGUGGCGCAACACCGGCGACGGCGAUGGUACCCACGUGAACCCCGAAUCGCAGUGAACUCGGGUAUGGGCUCAAUCGAUCCGUGAGAACUCCACAACCCAUCUAUCGACAGCGACGGCAGAGCACUGGAUUUGACGAACUUAAUUCCCCGAUCACCGCACGGUAGUGUUCAAACAAACGGGCCAGGGAGCUUUAGAGACCUCUCGAGUCUACGGUGCGCGCAUGCAAUCGCUCGGGAACUGGCGUGGUUAAUAUAGUUCACACCGAGGCUGUCCUCGGCGCCCGACUGCGACGGCGCGACCAUGUUCUACUCAACGUAUGGUGGUAAAGCUUGAACAAACCACUUGAUCAGCUUCACUGAUCAAUACAGAGCAUGGAACACAAGCCAUACGGGUGAGAAACUUUCUAAGCAUACCUGGCCACGGUGAAAUGGAGGAUCUGCAGGUGUUCAGUGCCUUGAUUAAUGGAUUUGGGGCGUGUCCAGGUUAUGAUUUUGGAGGAAGGGAACACAAUACAACUAACUGAAGCUACACAUGGUGAUCAAGAACUGAGACAAGGAUUAC
rnacentral:lncRNA from 1 species